rnacentral:lncRNA from 1 species
CCCUUUCUACCAUGACUGCAAAGACACCAGAAGAACUUUAGUACAAACUUAACUUUUAAUUUUAUUCUUUUAAAUUCUGUAAAAUGUAAUCUACUGUGACUAGAUAUGCUUUUACUUAAUAACCUCCCGGAUAUAUUUACAGCUUGUUAUUUUGCUAGAGAGCUAUGGAGGAUUGUUGUGGGCGCUCAAAUUGGAUGGAUGUUAUAGUGAAUGCUGAAAUUCAUAGUCAUAGUCAUGAUGGGGGUUCUCUUUCGUCGUCGAAUGCAACAUCUCUUCCCCCCCUCUCAGGCCGCAAUCUUCCGAUGAGACUCAACUAUUAAUCUUGCAGUGAGUGAUGGACUUCCACUGGUGCUGCAAUCAGUGCCUUUUCGAUUUCCAUUGUCCAAGUAACAGCAAAAGUAAAGACUAGGGGAGGUCGUGCCUUUCUGACGAAGAACAAAAGUAUAUAUGAUGUUAAAUUAUACUCCCUCCGUUUCAAUUUAUGUGAACCCAUUUGACUGGGCACGGAGUUUAAGAAAAGAGAGAAGACUUUUAAACUUGUGGUGUAAAAUGAGGCACAUAUAUUUUGUGUGGCUAUAAAUCAUUGCAUAAAGGUAAAUUAUUUCCA